rnacentral:ribozyme from 1 species
UCAUGAUUUUCUGUGGGCUCUAGUUAAUCUGUGUACUUUGGUUCUUCUGCUCCUACAUUCCUGGGGGCACUACUGGAUUAAAGAAGAUGGGGGGCCUCUGUGUCACUGGCAUCCGGAAAAUCAUUCGGAUUUGAACAAAUCAACUUUUAAUAUAUAUCUCGUCUUCGUCUUAAAAAAAAAAAAAAAAAAAAAAAAA